rnacentral:rRNA from 1 species
GACGAACGCUGGCGGCGUGCUUAACACAUGCAAGUCGAACGGAAAGGCCCUGCUUUUGUGGGGUGCUCGAGUGGCGAACGGGUGAGUAACACGUGAGUAACCUGCCCUUGACUUUGGGAUAACUUCAGGAAACUGGGGCUAAUACCGGAUAGGAGCUCCUGCUGCAUGGUGGGGGUUGGAAAGUUUCGGCGGUUGGGGAUGGACUCGCGGCUUAUCAGCUUGUUGGUGGGGUAGUGGCUUACCAAGGCUUUGACGGGUAGCCGGCCUGAGAGGGUGACCGGCCACAGUGGGACUGAGAUACGGCCCAGACUCCUACGGGAGGCAGCAGUGGGGAAGAGUGCACGAUGGGCGGAAGCCUGAUGCAGCAACGCCGCGUGCGGGAUGACGGCCUUCGGGUUGUAAACCGCGUUCGCCUGUGACGAAGCGUGAGUGACGGUAAUGUGUAAAGAAGCACCGGCUAACUACGUG